rnacentral:rRNA from 1 species
AUUGAACGCUGGCGGCAUGCCUUACACACGCAAGUCGAACGGCAGCACGGGGCAACCUGGUGGCGAGUGGCGAACGGGUGAGUAAUGCAUCGGAACGUACCUUUCAGUGGGGGAUAACGUAGCGACAGUUACGCUAAUACCGCAUAUUCUGUGAGCAGGAAAGCAGGGGAUCGCAAGACCUUGCGCUGAUUGAGCGGCCGAUGUCAGAUUAGCUAGUUGGUGAGGUAAAGGCUCACCAAGGCGACGAUCUGUAGCGGGUCUGAGAGGAUGAUCCGCCACACUGGAACGGAGACACGGUCAAGCCUCCUACGGGAGGCAGCAGUGGGGAAUUUUGGACAAUGGGGGCAACCCUGAUCCAGCCAUGCCGCGUGAGUGAAGAAGGCCUUCGGGUUGUAAAGCUCUUUCGGCCGGGAAGAAAUCGCACGGGCUAAUACCCUGUGUGGAUGACGGUACCGGAAUAAGAAGCACCGGCUAACUACGUGCCAGCCGCCGCUGUAAUAC